GACAGAGGUGCCGAGCGUUAGGCGGAAUCACUGGGCUUAAAGCGUGUGUAGGCGGGCGGGCAAGUACCUUGUGAAAUCCCACGGCUCAACCGUGGAACGGCUGGGUAUACUGCCUGUCUUGAGCCAACUAGGGGCGAGCGGAACAGACGGUGGAGCGGUGAAAUGCGUAGAUAUCGUCUGGAACGCCGAAGGUGAAAACAGGUUGCUGGGGCUGCGCUGACGCUGAGACACGAAAGCCAGGGGAGCGAACGGG
rnacentral:rRNA from 1 species